UUUUCCAGGAUGGGCACGACCGUCACAGCUCCCCCUCCCCAUCACAGUUUACACAGUGGAGAGUGUUCUCGCAAGAUUCAGAGAUCAUAUUGACCCAAAACUCUUGUCUCACGCCACAAGCAACAAAUAUUGCGGCAUUCAAAGAAAGUGGUGAUCUCCAAGUCUCUGUGGCUGGCAUUAGGGAGACUACAGCUGGAUUAAUGAGAUGGGACUUAAGAUGGCCAUCAUCUGUGUUGCUACCACGAGAGAGCAAUGGGAGGCACUGCAGUCCAGCUCAGCCCUCGACGACCAGCUCAAGCAGAUACAGAAAGCUGAGAAGAUGGCAAGAGCCAGCGGAGCCCUGGACUAGGGGCCCCG